rnacentral:snRNA from 1 species
AUACUUACCUGGCAGGGGAGAUACCAUGAUCAAGAAGGUGGUUCACCCAGGGCGAGGCUCAGCCAUUGCACUCCGGUUGUGCUGAGUGCUCCCCCUUCAGGGUGAGUGUAGAAUUC